UCCGCCUCAGACCUGGGUACCAGCGCGCCAGGCGGUUGCCGGGCUGAUUUGUGCUAUAUUUGGGCAGGUGUUUGGAGUUCUUUACCAGCUCACUCUGAAAGUUACCUGUUUUCCCGGCUUGUUUAGCUGAAACAGCGGCAACGAUUAGUCCCCUACAUAUCACUGAUGUCCAGACUCCGUGCGUUUUACCCUCUGAUCAGCUAGGACGUCUUUCUUUUAAAAAUAAGGCGUUUAUUAUUAUUUUAAAAAGUAGUGCUAGUGUUGUACAGUGAGGAUAGACUAGGAAGGAAAGAGUGGACCGCGCUGUCUGCCUGCAGAAAAACGGAUGCCUCGUUACAGGAGAGUGAGUGCACUAGCCAUAGCUAUGCGCCGAGAGUACACGGAUGCACGCGCUGUCCCGGCUCAUUUCUUCCAUAAGCGGGUAUUGCAUGUCUGCUCCCGGCGAGGAGCUGUGCCCAAGGACGCACAGAUGCCGAAGGAGUCCUGGACCCGCGGGGAGCUGGGCCCCUGGCGGGGGAAGACAGGCCUCCCCAUUAACCUUGAGAAAUGUGGAACAAGAGGAAAAUCGUUAAGCCUCUUCCCAGAGGAGGAUACUCACAUCUGAAGCGGCCUUCUGUCAGGACGCCCACUCCUCAACACGCUCGCAACCCAUUCCAGUAUCCAAGAAGGCUGCCAGGUGACACUUUAUUUGGAGCCAGACAGAGACCCCCCCUGGGUGGGCUUCCAGGAGAAGAGGUGAAACCUGUUUGAAAUGGAAAGGAGAUCUCCCUAACUGUUUGGAAAAGAUGAUCCAUUCCCAACUGCUUAAUUAGUAUCUAAAUCGCAAAUUAGUAUCUUAUAUCACCCUUUAUGGGGGAGGACAGCCUUGUAAAAUAUGCUUGGUCAAGUGGGUUUGCGAAAUAUCCACCUCUCUUCAUUCCUUUGGGGGAAUACCGAUGAUGUUCUGAGUGGGCUGCUGAAAAUGUACCACAGGACGUCACUUUGGCUCACCUAGACAUAAGUUUGCUCUCUAAAUUAUAAACAAGUUUUCAAACAGAAAUGCAGUUGGGAAGUUUACUAGCGCAAUACUUUCAAUACUUCCCUCAGGAGUAGGUAAAAAGGACACUGUGGUUUUCUUUAAUGAUCCUCUCAGCAUUUUAAAACAAGACAGAGCACUUUGAUGAGCCAUCAGAGAUCACAUAUCCCUAAGCAGACUGCUUAAAGUGGAAUAUGAAUGGUCCCCACUUGCCCAUGAUUGUGCAGGAACAGGCAUCAGAAUGGCUUUCCUGUUGUGUCCUACUUAACCCAUCCUGGUCACCCUGGGGUGAUGCAGGGAAAUCA